rnacentral:rRNA from 1 species
AAAGAGUAACGGAGGAGCACGAAGGUUGGCUAAUCCUGGUCGGACAUCAGGAGGUUAGUGCAAUGGCAUAAGCCAGCUUGACUGCGAGCGUGACGGCGCGAGCAGGUGCGAAAGCAGGUCAUAGUGAUCCGGUGGUUCUGAAUGGAAGGGCCAUCGCUCAACGGAUAAAAGGUACUCCGGGGAUAACAGGCUGAUACCGCCCAAGAGUUCAUAUCGACGGCGGUGUUUGGCACCUCGAUGUCGGCUCAUCACAUCCUGGGGCUGAAGUAGGUCCCAAGGGUAUGGCUGUUCGCCAUUUAAAGUGGUACGCGAGCUGGGUUUAGAACGUCGUGAGACAGUUCGGUCCCUAUCUGCCGUGGGCGCUGGAGAACUGAGGGGGGCUGCUCCUAGUACGAGAGGACCGGAGUGGACGCAUCACUGGUGUUCGGGUUGUCAUGCCAAUGGCACUGCCCGGUAGCUAAAUGCGGAAGAGAUAAGUGCUGAAAGCAUCUAAGCACGAAACUUGCCCCGAGAUGAGUUCUCCCUGACUCCCUGAGAGUCCUGAAGGAACGUUGAAGACGACGACGUUGAUAGGCCGGGUGUGUAAGCGCAGCGAUGCGUUGAGCUAACCGGUACUAAUGAACCGUGAGG